rnacentral:rRNA from 1 species
CCUACGGGUGGCAGCAGUGGGGAAUAUUGCACAAUGGGCGCAAGUCUGAUGCAGCCAUGCCGCGUGUGUGAAGAAGGCCUUCGGGUUGUAAAGCACUUUCAGCGGGGAGGAAGGCGUUAAGGUUAAUAACCUUGUCGAUUGACGUUACCCGCAGAAGAAGCACCGGCUAACUCCGUGCCAGCAGCCGCGGUAAUACGGAGGGUGCAAGCGUUAAUCGGAAUUACUGGGCGUAAAGCGCACGCAGGCGGUCUGUCAAGUCGGAUGUGAAAUCCCCGGGCUCAACCUGGGAACUGCAUUCGAAACUGGCAGGCUAGAGUCUUGUAGAGGGGGGUAGAAUUCCAGGUGUAGCGGUGAAAUGCGUAGAGAUCUGGAGGAAUACCGGUGGCGAAGGCGGCCCCCUGGACAAAGACUGACGCUCAGGUGCGAAAGCGUGGGGAGCAAACAGGAUUAGAUACCCUUGUAGUC